rnacentral:rRNA from 1 species
CAAAGGAAUUGACGGGGCCGCACAAGCGGUGGAGUAUGUGGUUUAAUUCGAUGCAACGCGAAGAACCUUACCUGGUCUUGACAUCCCGGAGACCCUUAGGAAACUAGGGGGUGCUUCCAUCUGGAAGAAUCUGGAGACAGGUGCUGCAUGGCUGUCGUCAGCUCGUGUCGUGAGAUGUUGGGUUAAGUCCCGCAACGAGCGCAACCCUUGCCUUUAGUUGCCAGCAGUUCGGCUGGGCACUCUAAAGGGACUGCCGGUGUUAAACCGGAGGAAGGUGGGGAUGACGUCAAGUCCUCAUGGCCUUUAUGACCAGGGCUACACACGUACUACAAUGGCCGAUACAAAGGGCAGCGACACUGCGAGGUGAAGCCAAUCCCGUAAAAUCGGUCUCAGUCCGGAUUGGAGUCUGCAACUCGACUCCAUGAAGUUGGAAUCGCUAGUAAUCGUGGAUCAGCAUGCCACGGUGAAUACGUUCCCGGGCCUU